GGUUUAAUUCGAUGCAACGCGAAGAACCUUACCUGGUCUUGACAUCCCGGAGACCCUUAGGAAACUAGGGGGUGGCUUCCAUCUGGAAGAAUCUGGAGACAGGUGCUGCAUGGCUGUCGUCAGCUCGUGUCGUGAGAUGUUGGGUUAAGUCCCGCAACGAGCGCAACCCUUGCCUUUAGUUGCCAGCAGUUCGGCUGGGCACUCUAAAGGGACUGCCGGUGUUAAACCGGAGGAAGGUGGGGAUGACGUCAAGUCCUCAUGGCCUUUAUGACCAGGGCUACACACGUACUACAAUGGCCGAUACAAAGGGCAGCGACACUGCGAGGUGAAGCCAAUCCCGUAAAAUCGGUCUCAGUCCGGAUUGGAGUCUGCAACUCGACUCCAUGAAGUUGGAAUCGCUAGUAAUCGUGGAUCAGCAUGCCACGGUGAAUACGUUCCCGGGCCUU
rnacentral:rRNA from 1 species